UUUCACCCUAAUAUCGCAUCAACUUUACACAAAGUAAGCAUAACCAACAAUGGAAAACAGCAGUUUAAAUGAACAGUUAACUUGUACGCGCAAUAAACAGUUUAAUUUGCUCGUGCAAUGAAAUUCCGUUCGAAUUAAAACUUAAAAUUUAAGAAACUUUUAAGAAACUCAAUAUUCCAAAAUGUCGUUAGAGAACUUAUCAAAAAAUUAUAAUGAAACUGAAGGAGAAAGAAAAAAUUCAAAUGUGUCUUAGUCUGGUGAUUUUGGAUGCACUAAAGAUAAACUUUAUAAAGACAAACUGCAUCUUUAGUGUCGUUUUUUUACAAGAAUGAACUGCAAAGGCAAAGCUUUUAUUCAUGAAGAUAAACUUCAGGUUACAACUGUUCACAGUUGCAGUAUAAGAGAAACAGACUUUGAAGUGCUGCUUGCUAAAAGUACCAUGAAGAAAAAAGCAGAAGCAACAUCUGAAGCCCUGCGCUCAAUUUUUCAAAACACUAUGAGUGAGUUUCCUGCAUUUGUUUCUGAAUCUGUUAGUUUUUGUCAAACUAUUUCAAGUCUUCAGAAAAAGGAAAAGGCUAAAUGAGCCUUCGAACCCAAAGUCACCAAAUGAAGCUGCUGAAGCUCUGAACGACAAAGAAUGUCAUCGCAAUAGAGACAAUUUCUUGGGAUCAAUUGCAGAACAGGAUAACGUAGCAUUGCUGUUUGGGCAUAUGCUAGUCAUUAACAAGGCAAAAUCGGCCAAAGUGUGUUUUGUUGAUGGAACAUUUAUUCGUAUUUAUACGAAUGCAUUUAACUUUUUCAAAAAAAUAUAUGUUCUAGAAGAACAUAUAUUUAUCUAGGGGGCUGUCCAUUAAUUACAUCAACAAACUUUUGGCAAUUUUUACAUUAUCUCCUCUCCCAUGUCAACAAUUUGUUAAAUUUCCAGAGACACUUCUUUCCCCUAUAAAAUUACGUCAAUUUUUGAUAACCCUCCUCCUCUAAAUAAAGACGCUGCGCUAAAAACGCAGCCAAAUUUUUCUUAUUUUGAGUAAUGAAAUUAAAAAAAUAAAGCAACAUUGUUAAUGUCAACUUUACUUAACCUCCUCCCCUCACCCUUAGCAAAAAUUUUCAAAAAAAUUUAGACACCCCCUUUCUUAUUUUAUUGACGUUAUUAAUGGACAGCCCGUAGACGAAAAAAUUGAUAUAUUAAAAACGUUAGGUAGAACAAUUUUAUUAACAGUUGUAAGUUAUAGUUACAUUUAUUGUACUUCCAGCAUGACGCCACGCAUGGAGGAAAGCAAGUGGUAUCAGCUCUUGAUAUUUUCUGUUGAGUAUUCAGCAGUACUUGAAGAUCCAAUUCCAGAUAAGGAUCAGAUGAAUUUUGAUCCUGAUAACCCUCACCUUUAGGGAACAUCUGUUCCAGCUGUAUGCACUUUAAUGACAUCGAAAUCCGAGGCUCUAUACAAGCUUGUAUUUUCCAAAAUAAAAGAAGGUUUAGAUUUCUCUCCAGUCACCUUUAUGUCAGAUUUUGAACGAGGACUACAGAAUGCUUUAAAAACAAUUUGGAGUGAAAGCUUGGUGAAUGGUUGCAGGUUUCAUUUCAAAAAUGCAAUCAUCAAGCAAUUAGCAAUCCUUGGUCUUCAGAGGGAAUACCGCCACCAAAUUCAAGUAAAAAAGUGGGCACGAAAAGUUUCAGCACUUUGUCUCCUUCCUGCAAACAAGAUCUUAGUUGAUUGGGGAUUUUGAUUUAUUGAGAUUGCACAAUUUAGUCGUGAAAUCAAAAUCAAACUGCUUGCUUUUAAAAUGUAUUUUGAAAGGUAUUGACUCAAUAUAGUGGCCCAUGAAUGAUUCAGUGUUUAUGGCUUGAACCACAAAACCAAUUACAAUGCAGAGAGUCUCAAUAGACGUCUGAAAUCAAACAUGAGUGAUCGACAUAGAGGAUUAUGGCAGUUUAUGAAAUUGUUUAACCAGCAUGUAAUAGUCCAUACAAUUUAAGAGCUUCAACAGCUUGCCUGCAGUCAGCCAGUCCGCCGUGACCAACGCGACUAUGGUGCAAUUGAAAAAAUUCGUUGUUUUGAGAAAAAACUUCAAGACGGAGUUUGGACAACUGAGAGAUUUUUAUCAACAGUAUCAUAUCUCUUUCAAAACUUCAAAGUAGUUGCUUUGGAUGAAAACUCAAUAAACGAGGUUAGUGAGAGUCUUCAUUUGCCAACUUCCACUUCAACAGAGUCACCGAAGUGCGUUGUUUGUACCGUCAAUGAACGAAAUGCAUUAGUAAUGCCUUGCAGACAUUUUUUGUUUUGUCAGCCUUGCAUUCAGCAAGUCCAAAAAAGCAACACAGCUCAUUGUCCCAGUUGCCGAGGACCAAUAUCAUCCAUAAUUGAACCUUUUCAAUGAUUAAGUAAAAUUUUCCCUUUUACCUAUAUUUUAAAAACUAGAA
rnacentral:lncRNA from 1 species